CACAUAACAAGAAAAUAAGUUCUUUCAAUUUCACUUUCCCUUUUCUCUGUUUCGUCUCUUACACAGACUUUCUUUUCUGGUUCUUGUUAGACAUAGCUGUAAUGGUUUUCCAAGUUUUAUCAUGAUAUUAGAGCGGAAUCUUCUGCGACUGAUGAAUCUGCAGAUUUCUCCUUUUCUUCUUUCAUGAAAAUCUUUCUUCUCUUUCGUUAUGGUGACUUCGUUUCUUUCUUCCGAGUAUGAUGAUCCGACUAGUCCUUAUUUUCUUCACUAUGGAGAAAAUCCAGGGACAAUGCUCGUGUCGCAAGAACUUGUUGGAGAAAUUUUCAUUAGGCACUCGAUGUCGAUAGCUCUUAGUGCCAAAUUCGUAACAGGAGCAUUAAAAAAGCACCAAAUGAUGAUGAUCCGUUGGUAAAUGCAUGGAUUAUGUGCAAUGAUAUGCAAAUCAAGUUGGGUUAUUGCCAACACCCAUUUCAAAUAUCCAAUCCCAUACAAAUAUGUCAGGAGAAAAAUUACAGCUAAUAGAACAAAAGUGCUACUACAGUUAUAAGGGAUGAUUGGAGAAUAUUCUGGAGGAUGCUUUGGCUAUUGGCUGCUGCAGAAUAUUGUGGACAGAGUUGGCAUUGUGUGCUGUCAGCGCACCACAUGCUGUAUAGUGCAUGCUGCAUGUCCUGCAUUUUGUAAUGUAGGUGUUGUUGGAGCAAGUUUCAUGCCCGCUGCUGGUUUUGCAUAUAUCACUGUACGUUGCAUGUCAGGUAUUGCAUUAGUGGCUUGAACAGGUAUCUCCUUUAAUUCUUUUGCUUUUAAUCAUUCAUUGAUAAAAAAACAUCUCUUCAAACCAAACACAAUGGAUAAUAGAUGGUAGAGCAACUGACCAUAUGGUUAGUUCCCUUUCUAUUUUUCCUUCAAUUUCCUUAGUAGUCAAUCAUCAAGUAAAGCUUCCUAAUGGAAAUCUCUCACAUGUCACUAAUAUAGGGACUGUGCAUAUUUCAGACUCUCUUUGUGUUCUUUCUUUUUCAUUCAACCUUAUCUCCACCAGUCGACUUGCCAAGGAUUCAUUUUGUUGUCUAACUUUCUUCACCAAUUAUUGUGUCAUUCAGGACCUACACACUUGGAGAAUGAUUGGGAUGGGUGAGCAGCAAGCUGGCUUAUACUAUCUUCUGCAAAACUUUCAGAAUGAGGCAAAGAUUGUCAGUUCUUCCAUUCCCUCAACUUCUAAAGUUGUCUCUGUUAUUUCUCCUUUUUUUGAUCUGUGGCAUUAUAGAUUAGGGCAUUUGUCUCCUUCUAGAUUGUUACUACUGAAUAAAUCUGUACUAGAUAUCAAAGUUUCAAAUACUACACCUUGUAUAGUUUAUCCUUUUACAAACAUCAUAGACUUCCUUUUUCCUUAAGUCAAAGCAUGUCUCACAAUCCUUUUGAGAUAAUUCAUUGUGACAUUUGGGGACCAUUUUCCAUUCCUCCUACCGAUGGUUCUCGAUUCUUUCUCAUUAUAGUUGAUAUUUUUUCAAGUGUACUUGGGUUUAUCUUAUGAAUAACAAAGGUCAAACUUGACAUUUGCUUCAA